ACCGCAGAUCUUGACGGGCGCGUGGAUGCGGAGGAGGUUGGGCUGCGAAAGCAGCACCUGUUUGGCCUCGACGCAGAGCUGGCGGAUCUCGGCCUCGGACAUCUGCACCUGCCGGCCCCCGCGGCCGCCCUCGACGAGGCGACGCACCACCUCGUCCACCGCCGCCGCAUCCAUCACCCCCAUCGACGCCCGCGUCAGCAUCAUUUUCGCUUUCCGUCCUCAAUCCCUCGGCCACGGUCGCGGAGGUCCUCGAACAAGGAAGGAGGGAGGGAAUCGAGAGGAAUGGAGGCGCGCGGCGCGGACGCAUUGAAUGAAAA
rnacentral:misc_RNA from 1 species